GGACUCCCUUCUCCUCUUGCCACGUCACUAAAUGGGUUCAUCAGGUGUCGACACGUGUCUAAACGCAUUUUAUAUCUACGUUUCAUUUAACUGUUGUUUCGUGGGUUUUAAUAGCUGUGUUUCGUUGUUGGGCCGUCACAAUUGGGUUUAGCAGAUUACUUUGCCGUCUUCUUGCUGAUUUUAAUCUGCAAACAGACGAUAUAUUUUCUCAACUCUUAGCCUCCCUUAUCGUUCAACAUUCACAAUCUCCAACUCUCUGUCUCCCUUCCCAUUCCAUGCGGAUCGAAAACCACCUCAAGCCUAUAAAUUGGAGAGUGUGCAGAGAAGAAGGAGCCAGUUUGCCGUAGGAUGGAGCAGACGGUGGCGCGGAUGAGGAUGGUGGCUUUGGUUCAUCGUAGGGCACAUCAUAAGAAGAGGAAGUUGAUGAUCGUACAACGGAUUGUUUCCGCCGGAGGAGUAAGGUAGCUUUGGAGGUGGCGAUUGAUUUCCACAACCGUAACCUGAAAAAGUGAAUCAGGAGAAAGACUCUUGCAGAAAGUAUUUAAAGUUCAGUGGAGUUAUUGAUAUUCUCACCAAAGAAAGACAAGCCUUCCUCUGCUUUAGAAUCUAGGCCUUGCAGCACAGAUAGUUCAUGUGGUAAUUGCUGCAACUUUGUUGAAUUCACCAGUAAACUGUUAUCCGGACAGAACAUGUCCUCCAAAGAUCAGUCAUUACUGUAUGAGCCCAUCAAAGAGCUUGAUAUCACGUUAAACCAAAUUGUUUUAGAUAGAUGCAGGAGUUUCAGUAGAUAUAAUUUCAGGCGUGAAUGAUCCAGUAACUUUGCAUUACCUCAACAGGUUUGCAAGUAAAUUAUCUUAAGGCCGUUUUUUUCCUACAGCCACCGGUCAGUUGACUUUUCCCUCGAUCAGCACCUUAUAACACCUUCAGAUCAUGUAGAAAUCCUCAUUCAUUUGAUGUGGACGAUAUCAGAUUUCUUGGAACUUAUGGUAAGAACAUCAAUGACCUUGACAAGUACUCAGAGGCGAAAAGCAAGCUUGAUUUGCCGAAAGAAGACUGAGGUGGAGACAUCUUGCUCCCGCUGCACCUAAUACAAUCAGUUGUUAUCCUUUCACCGAUGGAGAGCCUUUAGUGAUUGAAACUUGCCCUCAUGUCUUCUUCGUUGGAAAUCAAGAUAAAUAUGACAACCGUUUGGUAAAGGGUCAGAAGGUCAGCUGAUUAGGUUGAUCUGCAUUCGAAAAUUUUGUAAGACCGGUAUUGCUGUUGCAGUGCGUUGAAAUUUGAGAAGAUAUAAUCUGGAAUUCAAUUUUUCUUUCAUAUCUCAAAUUCAUCAAACAUAGUUGUUUUUUUUUUAUGGUUUUUUUUAUUGGCAGAGGAACUUGAGGAAUAUGGUGUGUCACACCUGUAGCUUUAACAUUCAGUUCAUACCAUUAAAUACUUUGAAGAUC